rnacentral:rRNA from 1 species
AGCGAACGCUGGCGGCAGGCCUAACACAUGCAAGUCGAACGAACCUUUCGGGGUUAGUGGUGGACGGGUGAGUACCACGUGGGAACGUGCCUUUAGGUUCGGAAUAACUCAGGGAAACUUGUGCUAAUACCGAAUGUGCCCUUCGGGGGAAAGAUUUAUCGCCUUUAGAGCGGCCCGCGUCUGAUUAGCUAGUUGGUUGAGGUAAUGGCUCACCAAGGCGACGAUCAGUAGCUGGUCUGAGAGGAUGAUCAGCCACAUUGGGACUGAGACACGGCCCAAACUCCGACGGGAGGCAGCAGUGGGGAAUCUUGCGCAAGGGGCGAAAGCCUGACGCAGCCAUGCCGCGUGAAUGAUGAAGGUCUUAGGAUUGUAAAAUUCUUUCACCGGGGACGAUAAUGACGGUACCCGGAGAAGAAGCCCCGGCUAACUUCGUG